UACGUAGGGGGCAAGCGUUGUCCGGAUCUAUUGGGCGUAAAGAGCGUGUAGGCGGCCAGGUAGGUCAGCUGUGAAAACUCGAGGCUCAACCUCGAGACGUCGGUUGAAACCACCUGGCUAGAGUCCGGAAGAGGAGAGUGGAAUUCCUGGUGUAGCGGUGAAAUGCGCAGAUAUCAGGAAGAACACCCGUGGCGAAGGCGGCUCUCUGGGACGGUACUGACGCUGAGACGCGAAAGCGUGGGGAGCGAACAGG
rnacentral:rRNA from 1 species